UCCAGUCUUCAUCAGUUCAGUGUAACUGUUGUAAUAGCUGUUCACGUGACAGAUAAAAACGAAAGACCACCAAAUUUUAAAAAACUCCCAACCCACGUUAACGUCAGUGAAAAUACGCCGAUUGGAGAACUGGUUUUUACCUGCACAUCAAAAGAUCUCGAUCUGACUACGACUAAAGUUCACUGGACGAACCCAGGUGACGUGAACACAUUACCAUGGUAUUUAGAUAAUGUAUCUGGUGCUGUGUAUUUAGUUUAUCCAGUAGAUUAUGAAUUACAGAAAAACUACACAUUAAAUAUAACAGCCUGGGAUCUGGAUCCACGAGAACCUAAAAAUACAACCAGUUAUCUAAUUAUUGAUGUAACAGAUGUUAACGACAAUCCACCGCUGUGUACACCAUAUUAUAACACGAGUAUAUCAGAAGAUGCGAUUAAUGGAAGUGAUGUGGUCACCAUUCAAUGUAACGAUUCAGACUCGGGUGAAAAUGGAG